GAUGAACGCUGGCGGCGUGCUUAACACAUGCAAGUCGAACGAUAAAGCCCAGCCUGCUGGGUGGAUUAGUGGCGAACGGGUGAGUAACACGUGAGUAACCUGCCCUUGACUCUGGGAUAAGCCCGGGAAACUGGGUCUAAUACCGGAUAGGAGCGCCUGUCGCAUGACGGGUGUUGGAAAGAUUUUUCGGUCAUGGAUGGACUCGCGGCCUAUCAGCUUGUUGGUGAGGUAAUGGCUCACCAAGGCGACGACGGGUAGCCGGCCUGAGAGGGUGACCGGCCACACUGGGACUGAGACACGGCCCAGACUCCUACGGGAGGCAGCAGUGGGGAAUAUUGCACAAUGGGCGGAAGCCUGAUGCAGCGACGCCGCGUGAGGGAUGACGGCCUUCGGGUUGUAAACCUCUUUCAAUAAGGAAGAA
rnacentral:rRNA from 1 species